UACGUAGGGUGCAAGCGUUAAUCGGAAUUACUGGGCGUAAAGCGUGCGCAGGCGGCUUUGCAAGACAGAUGUGAAAUCCCCGGGCUUAACCUGGGAACUGCAUUUGUGACUGCAAGGCUGGAGUGCGGCAGAGGGGGAUGGAAUUCCGCGUGUAGCAGUGAAAUGCGUAGAGAUGUGGAGGAACACCGAUGGCGAAGGCAGCCUCCUGGGCCGACACUGACGCUCAUGCACGAAAGCGUGGGGAGCAAACAGG
rnacentral:rRNA from 1 species